UCGAACGGGAAUUACUUUAUUGAAACUUCGGUCGAUUUAAUUUAAUUCUAGUGGCGGACGGGUGAGUAACGCGUGGGUAACCUGCCUUAUACAGGGGGAUAACAGUCAGAAAUGGCUGCUAAUACCGCAUAAGCGCACAGAGCUGCAUGGCUCAGUGUGAAAAACUCCGGUGGUAUAAGAUGGACCCGCGUUGGAUUAGCUUGUUGGUGGGGUAACGGCCCACCAAGGCGACGAUCCAUAGCCGGCCUGAGAGGGUGAACGGCCACAUUGGGACUGAGACACGGCCCAGACUCCUACGGGAGGCAGCAGUGGGGAAUAUUGCACAAUGGGGGAAACCCUGAUGCAGCGACGCCGCGUGAAGGAAGAAGUAUCUCGGUAUGUAAACUUCUAUCAGCAGGGAAGAUAGUGACGGUACCUGACUAAGAAGCCCCGGCUAACUACGUGCCAGCAGCCGCGGUAAUACGUAGGGGGCAAGCGUUAUCCGGAUUUACUGGGUGUAAAGGGAGCGUAGACGGUGUGGCAAGUCUGAUGUGAAAGGCAUGGGCUCAACCUGUGGACUGCAUUGGAAACUGUCAUACUUGAGUGCCGGAGGGGUAAGCGGAAUUCCUAGUGUAGCGGUGAAAUGCGUAGAUAUUAGGAGGAACACCAGUGGCGAAGGCGGCUUAUCUGGACGGUAACUGACGUUGAGGCUCGAAAGCGUGGGGAGCAAACAGG
rnacentral:rRNA from 1 species